AUGCACAAGCGGGACGCCAGUGCCUCUCCGACAACGGACCAAGGGUUGGAGCCCCAGACGCUGGGACAGCUGCAGGGACUGAUGCCUCGAGGCUUCAAAACCAGCGCCCCCCGCCCUCCGUGCCAGCCCCAGCCGGGACCCCACAAGGCAAGGCCGAAGACGAUUGUGUUUGAGGAUGAGCUGCUCUCCCAGGCCCUCCUGGGCACCAAGAAGCCUAUUGGAGCCAUCCCUAAGGGGCAUACGCCUAGACCCCACCCAGUGCCCGACUAUGAGCUUUAAGUACCCACCGGUGAGCAGUGCGAGGGAACGGAGCCGAUAUGCCGCAGUGUUCCAGGACCAGUACGGAGAGUACUUGGCGCUCCAGCGGGAGGUGGGGUGCGCACAGGCAAAGCUCAGGCAGCUGGAGGCCCGGCUGAGCUCCCUGCCCCCACCCCAAAGCCAGAAGGAGGCCCAAGUUGCAGCCCGAGUUUGGAGGGAAUUUGAGAAGAAGCAAACGGAUUCUGGCUUCCUGGACAAGCAGGCUCGCUGCCACUACCUGAAGCAUAAACUGAGGCAUCUCAAGACCCAGAUCCAGAAGUUCGAUGACCGAGGAGACAGUGAGGGCUCUGUGUACUUCUGAAUGCCCCUGCAGACAGGCAGAGGUACACGUGGGGAUGCCGGUUCCUGGCUUUUCUUGGUAUCUCUCAGUCUUUCCUCUUGCAGUUCCCCCUACCAGGGGUAGCUUUCUCCACAACUGCAAAUGCCUCUUCAUUUUGGACUCAGCUUUGACAGCCCCUCCUCCGGGCAGGCCUCCCAGGACUUCCUUCUCUAGGACAUCUAGCUCUGACCCUACAGGGACUCCAGAUCUCAACCUGUUCCUUGGAAGUAGGUCCUGCUCUUCAUUUCAGUGAAAUAAACAUGUAUUACACA